rnacentral:rRNA from 1 species
CUUAGUGGCGGACGGGUGAGUAACGCGUGGGUAACCUGCCUUAUACCGGGGGAUAACAGCCAGAAAUGGCUGCUAAUACCGCAUAAGCGCACAGAACCGCAUGGCUCAGUGUGAAAAACUCCGGUGGUAUAAGAUGGACCCGCGUUGGAUUAGCUAGUUGGUGAGGUAACGGCUCACCAAGGCAACGAUACAUAGGGGGACUGAGAGGUUAACCCCCCACACUGGUACUGAGACACGGACCAGACUCCUACGGGAGGCAGCAUG